rnacentral:rRNA from 1 species
GAUGAACGCUGGCGGCGUGCCUAAUACAUGCAAGUCGAGCGAACAGACGAGGAGCUUGCUCCUCUGACGUUAGCGGCGGACGGGUGAGUAACACGUGGAUAACCUACCUAGAAGACUGGGAUAACUUCGGGAAACCGGAGCUAAUACCGGAUAAUAUAUUGAACCGCAUGGUUCAAUAGUGAAAGACGGUUUUGCUGUCACUUAUAGAUGGAUCCGCGCCGCAUUAGCUAGUUGGUAAGGUAACGGCUUACCAAGGCAACGAUGCGUAGCCGACCUGAGAGGGUGAUCGGCCACACUGGAACUGAGACACGGUCCAGACUCCUACGGGAGGCAGCAGUAGGGAAUCUUCCGCAAUGGGCGAAAGCCUGACGGAGCAACGCCGCGUGAGUGAUGAAGGUCUUCGGAUCGUAAAACUCUGUUAUUAGGGAAGAACAAAUGUGUAAGUAACUAUGCACGUCUUGACGGUACCUAAUCAGAAAGCCACGGCUAACUACGUG